UGAAUCUUCCCCUUAGAUAUGUUUCUCCCCCUUUGUCAUCAAUAAAAAAGACAUAGACAAAAUAAUAAAAGAAAAUAAUGAGAAAGAAACAAAAUGAUUUUCAUUGAUAAUGCCAAAAAGGCAUAAAAGAUACAACUAGCAUAAAAAAAUGUGAGCGAAGUGGGCUUAUAUAAAAAAAAUUACAAUGAUGAAAAGAUGUAAAUAUGCAGUCAUAGGGAGAAGCAUAAGAGUUUAACCUAAUUUCGAGCAUUACCAAACCCA
rnacentral:lncRNA from 1 species